UUGGCUAAUAGCUUCGUUGAGCGUUUGAGGAUCAGGAAGAGAUAACAGCAAGUCCUUCACAUCAUCCUUCAAGCCCCAAUAAAACUGACUCACCAACGCCUCUUCACCCCAAUUAAUGUCACUUGCCAAUUGUCUGAAAUCCGAGGCAUAGACUGAUGCAGAGCGUGUUCCUUGUCCUAGCGAUCGGAUCUUUGUUGUAGCCC
rnacentral:lncRNA from 1 species